rnacentral:rRNA from 1 species
CCUACGGGUGGCAGCAGUCGAGAAUCAUUCACAAUGGGGGAAACCCUGAUGGUGCGACGCCGCGUGGGGGAAUGAAGGUCUUCGGAUUGUAAACCCCUGUCAUGUGGGAGCAAAUUAAAAAGAUAGUACCACACGAGGAAGAGACGGCUAACUCUGUGCCAGCAGCCGCGGUAAUACAGAGGUCUCAAGCGUUGUUCGGAAUCACUGGGCGUAAAGCGUGCGUAGGCUGUUUCGUAAGUCGUGUGUGGAAGGCGCGGGCUCAACCCGCGGACGGCACAUGAUACUGCGAGACUAGAGUAAUGGAGGGGGAACCGGAAUUCGCGGUGUAGCAGUGAAAUGCGUAGAUAUCGAGAGGAACACUCGUGGCGAAGGCGGGUUCCUGGACAUUAACUGACGCUGAGGCACGAAGGCCAGGGGAGCGAAAGGGAUUAGAUACCCGAGUAGUC